rnacentral:rRNA from 1 species
AAGCCCCGCAAGGGGUGAGUAGAGUGGCAAACGGGUGAGUAACACGUGGGUGACCUGCCUUCGAGUGGGGGAUAACGUCCCGAAAGGGACGCUAAUACCGCAUGACAUCCUGCCUUUGAAGGGGCGGAGAUCAAAGCUGGGGAUCGCAAGACCCAGCGCUUGAAGAGGGGCCCGCGCCUGAUUAGCUAGUUGGUGGGGUAAUGGCUCACCAAGGCAACGAUCAGUAGCCGGCCUGAGAGGGCGGACGGCCACACUGGGACUGAGACACGGCCCAGACUCCUACGGGAGGCAGCAGUGGGGAAUUGUUCGCAAUGGGCGCAAGCCUGACGACGCAACGCCGCGUGGAGGAUGAAGACCUUCGGG